AAAGAUUUAGUUUAAAAUUAAAACAUUAGAUUGUCAAACUAAAAAUAUUAAAUUAAUAAUCUUUU
rnacentral:tRNA from 1 species